rnacentral:rRNA from 1 species
AAUGAACGCUGGCGGCAUGCCUAACACAUGCAAGUCGAACGAAGGCUUCGGCCUUAGUGGCGCACGGGUGCGUAACGCGUGGGAAUCUGCCCCUUGGUUCGGGAUAACAGUUAGAAAUGACUGCUAAUACCGGAUGAUGACGUAAGUCCAAAGAUUUAUCGCCGAGGGAUGAGCCCGCGUAGGAUUAGCUAGUUGGUGUGGUAAGAGCGCACCAAGGCGACGAUCCUUAGCUGGUCUGAGAGGAUGAUCAGCCACACUGGGACUGAGACACGGCCCAGACUCCUACGGGAGGCAGCAGUGGGGAAUAUUGGACAAUGGGCGAAAGACUGAUCCAGCAAUGCCGCGUGAGUGAUGAAGGCCUUAGGGUUGUAAAGCUCUUUUACCCGGGAUGAUAAUGACAGUACCGGGAGAAUAAGCUCCGGCUAACUACGUG